rnacentral:rRNA from 1 species
UACGAAGGUGGCAAGCGUUGUUCGGAAUCACUGGGUUUAAAGGGUGCGUAGGUGGUCCGUUAAGUCAGUUGUGAAAUCCCCGAGCUCAACUCGGGAACUGCUUCUGAUACUGGCGGACUUGAGGCCAGUAGGGGUCACUAGAACUGACGGUGGAGCGGUGAAAUGCGUAGAUAUCGUCAGGAAUGCCGGUGGUGAAGACGGGUGACUGGGCUGGUUCUGACACUGAGGCACGAAAGCGUGGGGAGCAAACGGG